GAUGAAGAACGCAGUGAAAUGCGAUAAGUAAUGUGAAUUGCAGAAUUCAGUGAAUCAUCGAAUCUUUGAACGCACCUUGCGCCCUUUGGCUAUUCUGAAGGGCAUGCCUGUUUGAGUAUCAUGAACACCUCAACUCUCAUGGUUUGCCAUGAUGAGCUUGGACUUUGGGGGUCUUGCUGGCCUACGGUCGGCUCCUCUCAAAUGAAUCAGCUUGCCAGUGUUUGGUGGCAUCACGGGUGUGAUAACUAUCUACGCUUGUGGUUUCCCGCCAGGUAACCUUCAGUGAUGGAGGUUCGCUGGGGCUCAUAAAUGUCCCUCCACAGUGAGGACAGCUUUUGAACGUUUGAUCUCAAAUCAGGUAGGACUACCCGCUGAACUUAAGCAUAUCAAUAAGCGGAGGA
rnacentral:misc_RNA from 1 species